UACGUAGGGUGCGAGCGUUAAUCGGAAUUACUGGGCGUAAAGCGUGCGCAGGCGGUUUUGUAAGCCAGAUGUGAAAUCCCCGGGCUUAACCUGGGAAUGGCAUUUGGGACUGCAAGGCUCGAGUGCGGCAGAGGAGACUGGAAUUCCUGGUGUAGCAGUGAAAUGCGUAGAUAUCAGGAGGAACACCGAUGGCGAAGGCAGGUCUCUGGGCUGACACUGACGCUCAUGCACGAAAGUGUGGGGAUCAAACAGG
rnacentral:rRNA from 1 species